UACAGAGGGUGCGAGCGUUGUCCGGAAUCACUGGGCGUAAAGGGCGCGUAGGCGGCCUGAUAAGUAGGGGGUGAAAUCCUGUGGCUUAACUGCAGGGCUGCCUCCUAGACUGUUAGGCUCGAGCACGGUAGAGGCAGAUGGAAUUCCCGGUGUAGCGGUGGAAUGCGUAGAGAUCGGGAAGAACAUCGGUGGCGAAGGCGGUCUGCUGGGCCGUUGCUGACGCUGAGGCGCGACAGCGUGGGGAGCAAACGAGG
rnacentral:rRNA from 1 species